CAGUCGCCGCGGUAAUACGUAGGUGGCAAGCGUUGUCCGGAAUUAUUGGGCGUAAAGGGCUCGCAGGCGGUUUCUUAAGUCUGAUGUGAAAGCCCCCGGCUCAACCGGGGAGGGUCAUUGGAAACUGGGAAACUUGAGUGCAGAAGAGGAGAGUGGAAUUCCACGUGUAGCGAUGAAAUGCGUAGAGAUGUGGAGGAACACCAGUGGCGAAGGCGGCUCUCUGGUCUGUAACUGACGCUGAGGAGCGAAAGCGUGGGGAGCGAACAGGAUUAGAUACCCCUGUAGUCCCUGUCUCUUAUAC
rnacentral:rRNA from 1 species